rnacentral:snRNA from 1 species
GGAAGUCCUCGUGUUGCAU